rnacentral:rRNA from 1 species
UACGGGGGGGGCAAGCGUUUGUUCGGAAUUACUGGGCGUAAAGGGCUCGUAGGUGGCCAACUAAGUCAGACGUGAAAUCCCUCGGCUUAACCGGGGAACUGCGUCUGAUACUGGAUGGCUUGAGUUCGGGAGAGGGAUGCGGAAUUCCAGGUGUAGCGGUGAAAUGCGUAGAUAUUAGGAAGAACACCGGUGGCGAAGGCGGCCCACUGGAUCGGUACUGACGCUGAGGUGCGAAAGCGUGGGGGAGCAAACAGG